CGUGGGGAACCUGCCCCAUAGUCUGGGAUACCACUUGGAAACAGGUGCUAAUACCGGAUAAGAAAGCGGAUCGCAUGAUCAGCUUUUAAAAGGCGGCGUAAGCUGUCGCUAUGGGAUGGCCCCGCUGUGCAUUAGCUAGUUGGUAAGGUAAAGGCUUACCAAGGCGAUGAUGCAUAGCCGAGUUGAGAGACUGAUCGGCCACAUUGGGACUGAGACACGGCCCAAACUCCUACGGGAGGCAGCAGCC
rnacentral:rRNA from 1 species